GACGAACGCUGGCGGCGUGCUUAACACAUGCAAGUCGAACGGAAAGGCCCUGCUCUUGUGGGGUGCUCGAGUGGCGAACGGGUGAGUAACACGUGAGUAACCUGCCCUUGACUUUGGGAUAACUUCAGGAAACUGGGGCUAAUACCGGAUAGGAGCUCCUGCUGCAUGGUGGGGGUUGGAAAGUUUCGGCGGUUGGGGAUGGACUCGCGGCUUAUCAGCUUGUUGGUGGGGUAGUGGCUUACCAAGGCUUUGACGGGUAGCCGGCCUGAGAGGGUGACCGGCCACAUUGGGACUGAGAUACGGCCCAGACUCCUACGGGAGGCAGCAGUGGGGAAUAUUGCACAAUGGGCGGAAGCCUGAUGCAGCAACGCCGCAUGCGGGAUGACGGCCUUCGGGUUGUAAACCGCUUUCGCCUGUGACGAAGCGUGAGUGACGGUAAUGGGUAAAGAAGCACCGGCUAACUACGUG
rnacentral:rRNA from 1 species